CCCUUAGAUGUCCUGGGCCGCUCGCGCGCUACACUGAUGCAUUCAACGAGUAUUUCCUUGGCCGAGAGGCCUGGGCAAUCUUUUAAACCUGCAUCGUGAUAGGGAUAGAUUAUUGCAAUUAUUAAUCUUGAACGAGGAAUUCCUAGUAAACGCAAAUCAUCAAUUUGCAUUGAUUACGUCCCUGCCCUUUGUACACACCGCCCGUCGCACCUACCGAUUGAAUGGUCCGGUGAAAUCUCGGGAUUGUGGCCAGUUCACUUUAUUGGGAGUUGGCUGCGAGAACUUGCUUAAACCUUAUCAUUUAGAGGAAGGUGAAGUCGUAACA
rnacentral:rRNA from 1 species